AGUGAACGCUGGCGGUAGGCCUAACACAUGCAAGUCGAACGGCAGCACAGAGGAGCUUGCUCCUUGGGUGGCGAGUGGCGGACGGGUGAGGAAUACAUCGGAAUCUACUCUGUCGUGGGGGAUAACGUAGGGAAACUUACGCUAAUACCGCAUACGACCUACGGGUGAAAGCAGGGGAUCUUCGGACCUUGCGCGAUUGAAUGAGCCGAUGUCGGAUUAGCUAGUUGGCGGGGUAAAGGCCCACCAAGGCGACGAUCCGUAGCUGGUCUGAGAGGAUGAUCAGCCACACCGGAACUGAGACACGGUCCAGACUCCUACGGGAGGCAGCAGUGGGGAAUAUUGGACAAUGGGCGCAAGCCUGAUUCAGCCAUACCGCGUGGGUGAAGAAGGCCUUCGGGUUGUAAAGCCCUUUUGUUGGGAAAGAAAUCCAUCUGGUUAAUACCCGGGUGGGAUGACGGUACCCAAAGAAUAAGCACCGGCUAACUUCGUGCCAGCAGCCGCCGUAA
rnacentral:rRNA from 1 species